GGGUGGGAGAAAGGGGCUAGGCAAGAAGUGGGGGGACUCCGCAGAGUGUGGACAGAGCACGUGAGCCCGUGCUUUCAAAGACCUACUGGAUUCCGUGUAGGCAGAGAGUGGAUGGAGGGCCGGCAGCAGAGGAACGUGGCCCGAAGCAGGCUCAUGGGUGCAGCCGGAAAGGGCUGGGGCGAGGGGACUUUGCGGCUGGCAGAAAUGACCGGACUUGGUGCUCCGCUGGAUGGGGGUGGGGAGAGGGCAGGUGCUGAGGCCACAGCUUCCUAUGCUUCAGGCUGACCCCACUUCGCACAGGUGUGCACCACGGUUAGCACAUCGGCCACGUCACCUCUGUGCUAGGCACUUCCAUUAACUCUGAAUCGCUGGAGACCAGGGGAUUGAGACCAACUUGUAUUCUUUUUUUUUUUUUUUUCUUUUAAUUACAGGGCCCUGAGAGUAUUUUUCUUCUGCCUCCUUGGGUCUCACAUUGUUUCCUAAUGUCACUGUUAGGGCUUUUAAAGUCUCUUAGGCAGGAAUUUGUAGUGACAGAUGAUGGGGUCUGUUCUCAGGUCCCAGAUUCAGGGAAGGACUGGAAAGUGCUCAAUGAGGAGACAGACCCUUGGGGACCAGCCAGAGAGUCACAGAGGUCCCACCUGAAACGGCGGGUUCAUCCAGAGGGAAGCACUUUGAUGGGGUCACGGAGCUCACAACAAAGAUCAGGGAAACAGCCAGAAGCCUGGCUGACGGCACAGCCUCCCAGGAACCUUCCCUAGGAAAGGGGUCUUGGAGACCAGGAGACAGGCGCUGCGCAUGGGACAGCUGGGGCCCAGGGAGCAGCCGCGUGUGAGGACAGAGCUGCACUCCUCUGUCAGGAAAGGCGGAUACACACAGGCCCGGCACAGAGGGCCCUCCGCAGGGACAUUUCACAGAGGAAUGACAAAAACGACUCUCUGGGUAAGGAUGCCUGUUCCCUCAGGCCCAGAGUGGAGGUGUUCAUUUGUUCAGAGAGAGAGAGACUGGGAGACCGGAGAAAGGAGACAGACAGAGGCAGACCACUGGGUCGAGGCAAGACGGAAAUAAACAGGAAGAGCCUGAGAGCAGGCCUUCAGGAGGCAGCCGGGCCCUUCGGACAGUCUCAGGACCACUGUCUCAAAUUGUCUCAAAUCGUCUCUGCCCGCGCCCCCCACGCCGGGC